GUUUCACAGAGUCCUCCUGCAAGAAAAAAUAGUUCAAACAAGAAGUUGAAGACCAGAAUCCACCAGAGGAGCAUCCUUUGGGUGUCCUGCUCCGCUCCCUGCUCCAUGCGGUUCAGAGACCAGGACGCAGCCCAUCCUUCCUGUUCCAGCCCCAAAGAUUUGGCCGGAAUGCCAGGGGUACUUCCAGUAGCAGUGUCCGAGUCAACCCACGGGCUUGGGAUUCGAUGGCCCCUCAGUUUCUCAGCAUGGCUACUCCACAGCGUUUCGGCAAGAAAAAAUAAAUCCGGAAGAAACAGCACAAAGCCCACCAUGAACUCGUGUCGACUAGAUUCUGCCAAAAUGAGUUAACACAUCUCUCUCUCUGUUUUCCCUGUUUGUGUCUCAUUGCAGUGAUCUGUGACUGCAUUUCUUGUCUGGGGAGAUUACACUUUGCUGUUUGUUAAUAAUAAAAGGCCAUUUCAUCUUGGAAAAUAC
rnacentral:lncRNA from 1 species